rnacentral:tRNA from 1 species
GUCGGACCUGCGGGAGAAGGUGCUGACGCGGCUGCGGGCCGCGGCCGGGACGGGGGAUCGGCGAUGACGGGCAGCUCCGAGCGGCUGGUCCGGCU